rnacentral:rRNA from 1 species
UUGGAGGUAGUGACAAUAAAUCACAAUGCGGGACUUUUAGUUUUGCAAUUGGAUUGAGAACAAUGUAAAAGAGUUAUCGAUAAACAAUUGGAGGGCAAGUCUGGUGCCAGCAGCCGCGGUAAUUCCAGCUCCAAUAGCGUAUAUUAACGUUGUUGCAGUUAAAAAGCUCGUAGUUGAAGUGUGGGGUGAAAAGUUGGUUGUUUCUUUGAAAUGGCUGUCUGCUCACCCCCUCUCCAAUGUGUUAUUAUGGGUAUUAAUUUACUUGUAAUAGCUAUUGGUCAUUUACUGUGAGAAAAUUAGAGUGUUCAAAGCAGGCAUUUGCUUGAAUAUAUUAGCAUGGAAUAAUAAUAAAAGGCUUUUGUGGUCGAUUUAAUUGGUUUGUUCAUAAAAGCAAGAUUAAUAGGGACAGUUGGGGGUAUUCAUAUUCAAUAGUUAGAGGUGAAAUUCUCGGAUUUAUGGAAGAUGAACAAGUGCGAAAGCAA